AAAUCACCAAAUCACCUUCUUCCUUACACUCGAUUUCCACCAAAUCACCAAAUCUCUUCGAUUUCUCUUACCCUCGUCGCCGCCCCAGCCUUCUCCACCAAAUCUCUUCAAUUUCCCUUACCCUCGUCGCCGCCCCAGCCUUCGAUCCAGCCUUCUCCGGCCGCCGUCGGCUCUCGCCGCCCCGUCUCCUUCGAUCGACAGCCCGCCGCCCUCACCUAGCCUUUCCCGGACGACUCCGUCUGACGACUCCACAGCAGCAGCAGUUUCCAAU
rnacentral:lncRNA from 1 species